CGGAAAUUUACUUCAAAAAGUAUCAGUAAUUAAAGUAAUGCAAUCGCAGUAAAGCGGUUAUUUAUUAAAUUUUACUCAAAAUACUGAAGAUGCUGUAAUAAUUUUCGACCGCUUGUUUUGCAAUUAUAUGCUUUUGACAACUGAUACCUACUUAACCUCAAUUAUUCUCUAUUGUGUAUAUUGCCUUAUUGCCACAAUGGAUUCUGAAAGUAUAGUUCCUUUAAUUGUUAAUAAUAUUUUGAGUAUUUUGGACGAUUCAAGUUCUGAUGAUGAUGAAUUUCUAGUAUUAACACAUUUGAUGAAUGUGAGUGAUUCCACUCGUUUAACGAGAAUUGAACAUUAUGUGGAAAAUGUGGUUCAUUUAUAUUCAGAUGAUCAAUUCCAAUCACAUUUUAGAAUGCAACGAAAAACAUUUGACUUUAUUUUGUCUUUAAUUGGA